UGAUGUUUCAGUUCGGCACCAAGGCCCCCUGGGAUAGCAGCCUGCGCCACGUCGAAUGCCAAGCCGUUUCUGACUGCAACAUGUGCUGGCAAGUGUGCGACCUCUUCUACAAGGACUUCGACCUCUGGGGCCCCAUGUGCGGCGUCGAAAACAUAUGCUUCCCCGGGUGCAAAGUGGCCUGCUCUUUCCACAAGACCGGGUCAGACGG